rnacentral:lncRNA from 1 species
UUGAGAUGGGUAAUCGAAAUAUUAGAUUUCCAAUCUCAUUACUAUUGAAAAUAACUUCAAAUGGGAUUAUAGUGCGUUUCUAUUGACUUCAAACGAAAUUUUCGGAUAGGAAUAGCGACCAGCGUUGAAUUAGAGAAUCGAAAGCGAUCCGACCUAAUUAAUUUAUUCGCAUGUGGAGAACGCAUCGUUAUUGAUUGAUUAGCAGACGCGGCCUAAACCGCGGAAUAAUUUUCAUUUCGCAUAUAGGGGGGAAUACUCAGACACGACAUGUUCGUUUUUACCGACCGAACCCGACGCGGAUGAUUCUUUUUUCGUUUUUCGGCGCGCGAAACCGUGGCGCAAAGGAAGAAGAAGGGGAGAGACGUAGUAGAGUAUGAUGACAGCGGAAAGACACGACCACCAUAGAGAGAAUGUCGAUCUCGUUUUUGCGAACGGUUGGAAGACACGCGGAAUGGACGUUUGUCGAUAUCGUUUACACGAACGACACGUACGUAUAAGUUACGAUGAUGUGAGGCAGAUCCAUUAGACUAUGCAAUUGUCCACGUAUUGCAUUGUCAGCCACCAUAGAGAUUUCUAUUCAGAAAUCGCGGAAGUCCCCGGAUGCAUUGACGAGAGGUAGAGGAUGAUCGAGGACCGCUCUUGUUGCGAGAAGGAAAGAGACACGAGAGAGACGGAAUACCAUGAUCGACCAGGAUACUGGUUACUCGUAUUUCCCUUUUUUCCCUCUCUCCCUAAUUGUCAUGCGUGAUAUUCGUUUCUACAGAAGUCAAGAAUUUUUUCUACUGUGUGUGCAUGUAUUAGAAAUUGUCAAAAAUUUUAUUUUAAUUGACAUUAUUUCUUUAUCCGGGAUCCAGGAAUUUUCUAUCUAACUAGAGCAUUUAUACGAAGCAUCGGUGGUUUUAUUUAAAUACCCGGGAAGAAUUCAGUGGCCAAAAAAUCGGCGAACCGUAAAGAAAGAUUCACGGAUAAAAAGGGGAUCCGUUUGAUCGCGGACCAGCGCUUGAAGCGUGGUGAAAAACCAGUCCCGACCGUAUCACUCCGUUUCUUUGGUCAGGAUCGGGCCAAACAAUUAAACUCGAAUGAGAAAAUCUCUUUUGAUGGCGAUGCACUGCGAUGAACGCACGACGGACAUAUUAGUAUAAUAAGCGACGAUCUGUGUACGCAUAUAUAGAUUAUGGUAACAAAGAGGAUGAAUGAAAGAAACGACAGAGAUAGCAGUAGCAAUGAUGAAAAGAACUAGAUGUACAGAUAUACACGCCACCACAUUGCGUAUGAUCGUGGCGACGAGAAGAACCAAUUGGUCUGUGAUCACGAACACACAUGCACAUAUACGUACUACGGAAGGAAGCGAGAGCGGAAAAAGUGAAGAAGUGAGAGCGAUAAGGAAAGCAGAUCGAAGGAAGGAGGAAGGGAAUCCAAUAUAACUGCACACACGUUUAUAGGGUCGAUGGGAAUAUAUUGGAGCGGAUAUUGAAAUACUUGUUGGUAGUUUGAGUCGAAGGCGAGAGAUGCCUUUCUCGAUGCCAUCUUGAUUGCGCAAUCGAGGCAUCGGUCCACGAGUACAGAAUUUAACGAUAAAGAUCGUACGGAUUAUAGAAUCCUAGACGGGGAACAAAGUCCCCUUCCUAUCUAUCCUCCUUUCCCAGGUUUUGUGCCUUUAUCGGUAUUACGAACCUCAACUUCUUGUUGUUUACCACAUCGUUUCUUUAAACGAGAUGUUAUGUUACAAUUACAAUCUAACUUCGUCAUAUAUUUU